AUGAGAGGGGGAGAGAAGAGGAAGGGGGCGAGGGAGAAAGAGAGAGGUUGCUGCGCGGGGUGGUUUCGGAUUGGGUGCAGGUCGCGGCCAUGGGCGAGCAGGGGUGCUGUGGUUUUUGUGAUGGGAUCCGACAAGGUGCGGCUGGUGGUGGGGCCCCAUGGGGCGCGGUGGCCACCGCACGGGAAUGGGGGCUACUACCGGGUGCUGGUGCGGAGCGACCUCCAGCGGCAGAAGCCGGCGACAUCUUCUCUCCCGGCAACGGUUUCGGCUGGUGCGUCACGCUCGCUCCCCCGCCUCGGCGGCUCGGCCGUCGGGUCUUGCUGCAUUCCUCAGCACCUUUUACUGUUGCAUUUGGCCAGUGACAAGUUCUGUGAAAAGAAUUGCUACAUUGUUAUUACAGUAACUGCUGACAUUGAGAUCUUGGCUGCUACUUGUAUGUACCAGUUCAGGAACUCGUAUUAUGCGUUACUACAAUCAGCCAAGUGA
rnacentral:rRNA from 1 species